AGAUUGAACGCUGGCGGCAUGCCUUAUACAUGCAAGUCGAACGCGAAAGGGGGGCAACCCCCGAGUAGAGUGGCGAACAGGUGAGUAAUACAUCGGAACGUAUCCAGUAGCGGGGGAUAACUUCUCGAAAGAGAGGCUAAUACCGCACACGACCUACGGGUGAAAGAGGGGGAUCGCAAGACCUCUCACUAUUGGAGCGGCCGAUGUCGGAUUAGCUAGUUGGCGGGUAACGCCCACAAGGCUACGAUCCGUAGCUGGUCUGAGAGGACGACCAGCCACACUGGAACUGAGACACGGUCCAGACUCCUACGGGAGCAGCAGGUGGGGAAUUUGGACAAGUGGGCGCAAGCCUAGGAUCCAGCCAUGCCGCGUGAGUGAAGAGGCCUGGUUGUAAAGCUCUUCGGCUGGAACGGAAAGGUCCGUAGUUAACGACCACGG
rnacentral:rRNA from 1 species